rnacentral:rRNA from 1 species
GAUGAACGCUGGCGGCGUGCUUAACACAUGCAAGUCGAACGAAGCAUUUAAGCGGAAGUUUCGGAUGGAAGCUUAAAUGACUGAGUGGCGGACGGGUGAGUAACGCGUGGGUAACCUGCCUUAUACAGGGGGACAACAGUUAGAAAUGACUGCUAAUACCGCAUAAGCGCACAGUAUCGCAUGAUACGGUGUGAAAAACUGAGGUGGUAUAAGAUGGACCCGCGUCUGAUUAGCUAGUUGGUGAGGUAACGGCUCACCAAGGCGACGAUCAGUAGCCGACCUGAGAGGGUGACCGGCCACAUUGGGACUGAGACACGGCCCAGACUCCUACGGGAGGCAGCAGUGGGGAAUAUUGCACAAUGGGCGAAAGCCUGAUGCAGCGACGCCGCGUGAGCGAAGAAGUAUUUCGGUAUGUAAAGCUCUAUCAGCAGGGAAGAUAAUGACGGUACCUGACUAAGAAGCCCCGGCUAACUACGUG